rnacentral:rRNA from 1 species
ACUACGGGUGGCAGCAGUGAGGAAUAUUGGUCAAUGGGCGGGAGCCUGAACCAGCCAAGUCGCGUGAGGGAAGACGGUCCUAUGGAUUGUAAACCUCUUUAGGCGGGGAGCAAUGCCGGGCACGUGUGCCCGGAGGGAGAGUACCCGCAGAAUAAGCAUCGGCUAACUCCGUGCCAGCAGCCGCGGUAAUACGGAGGAUGCGCGCGUUAUCCGGUUUUAUUGGGGUUAAAGGGGGCGUAGGCGGAUUUUUAAGUCAGCGGUAAAAGGUCCGGGCUCAACCCGGGCCGGCCGUUGAAACUGGUGAUCUUGAGUGGGCGAGAGGUAUGCGGAAUGCGUGGUGUAGCGGUGAAAUGCAUAGAGAUCACGCAGAACUCCGAUUGCGAAGGCAGCAUACCGGCGCCCGACUGACGCUGAGGCACGAAAGCGUGGGGAUCGAACAGGAUUAGAUACCCUUGUAGUC